AGAGGACUGACUUCCUGUGUUCUGCAGUCAGUCUCUGGUUCAUUCCCCUGACACAGGGUCUCCCACUGAGCCCAGAACAAACUCUAGUGAUCCCCACCUCUACCGCCCCACGCCUGCAACACUGGAGUCGGCUCCAGCUUUGCACGUAGAUGCGAGACUCAAAUUCCAGCAUAGCAAGUGCUCUGUCCCACUGAGCCAUCUCCUCUGCUCGUGUGCGAGUGCAUAUGCGCGUGCGCGCGCGCGCGCGCACACACACACACACACACACACACACACACACACGCACACGAGCGCGCGCGCCCACUUUGUACAAAUAUUUUGAAACAACAGUACAUAUUUGCUAUAAACGAUUUGGAAAACUUCAGAAAACAGGAAGAUCAAAACAAUCCAUCAACCCCUUGCACCCAGACUUAAUGGAACGUAACAUUUGGAUACAAAACCUUCCAUCUUUUUUUUUCCUUCUGUAGCUAUAAAUAUUUUAAACCUGAUUUUCAUUUGAUAAACAAGUAUCAUAUGAUAUUAUUUGCAGCGUUUUGAGGGAAGGCGAUGGCUGCCCUCUGUGCUAUUAAGCAUUCUUUAAGAGCGUUUUAAAACCUCUCCUACUCUCCAAGCCUCUCCUCGCCACCGAAGAUUUGCCAAACAACAGCAAAAGCACACGCUCCAUUACGUUUCUUUACUUUCUAGAAAGUACCACUGUUAACAUUUCCGUGUGUGUCCUUCUGGUGUGUCCUUUUUUAUUUUAAUUGGAAUCGUAUUAAAUUUAUAAAUUAAUUUGAAGAGAACUGACAUCUUUACAAUAUUGAGCCAGCCCUUCCGGGAGUAAGUUAUGUCUCCCCAUUUAUUCAAGCCUUCUUUUAUGUCCCCCAGUAAAGUUUCGUACUUGGCUUGAUGGAGGAAUUGCACAUUUAUUGUAAAGCGUUUUACUAUUUUUUUUUCUGUUGCUUUUGUGAGUAGGGUCCCUUUUAUUCCUCACAAUUCCUUGCUGUUUAUGACCAUGGCACAGGAAGGGCUGUAUGAUUGGGGUUAUUCGUAUGCUGGCCCUUGAGUGCGCUCUGGGCUUACCUGCCUCCGUUUUCAUCUCAUUUCCUUGAGUGUUUAAGGGAGUUGUAAGAAGUAUCUAUCAUCUGAAGUUGUGUGUGUGUGUGUGUGUGUGUGUGUGUGUGUUAGACAUGUGUGUGCAUCAGUGUAUGGAGGUCAAAUAAGUGGUCAGGUGUGU
rnacentral:lncRNA from 1 species